UCUCAAAAAUUACUGUCAACAUUCUUUCUCAGAUUCUUCAAUCUUUAUCUCUCACUUCUUAAAAAUCGUUACCACUACUCACAUUCCAGUGAAACUGCCAAAUGAAGAUGAAACCCGUUAUCUUGUUAAGGGUUUUAGUUUUUAUUGAUAAAACCGUAAUAAGAAUUCGUCGGACCUUGAAAGAGAGAAUCAGUUGAACCAUCAAGUUUCCUAGAGAAGUGUAUUGAACCAUCAAGUUUAAGAAGCUUAAGUGACGAUGCUACAUUCAAGAAGCUUUUGGAUGACACCAACAAAGAGCGUGAGAACAAAUGGUGGAGCAGGUUUAUGGAUUGAUGGGUGGAACCAAGUGGAAUCCUUAGCAAUUUUUCGAAUCUCUGCAGUAACUUUUCAGACCUCAGCGGGGUUAUAGUCAUCCUGGCUCCUGAAAGUAUUACUUUUGGUAACACUAUUCAAGGGCCUCUGUGUGCAAGAGUUCCAGAGGGAGAUUGUGAAAUGGAACUGCAGUCCAAAUGUGAUCACUUAUGCCAAGAGGAAGACAUGCAGUUUUGUACUUCUGCAGUGGCAUAUUGGACGUAGGUUUCUAUCGGAUUUGCGGUAAAACAUGUUGGUUCGCAGUUGGUGUACAAAAUAUAAUGAAUUGAGACCAUGCUCCAUCACUUCAGAGCUAUAAGUAGUGUUUCCAUGAGUCACUUCCAGAGUUGUGGUACAUGGAGCUGUGUGUGGAUGAUGUACCUCCCAUCCAACGCAAAUCAACUAGCAGCAAGCACUUUAAGUGGCGAUGUUACACCCCAAGAAACUUUCGGGUGUCAGCAAUAGGGAGCGCAUGAUAACAAAUGAUGGAGCAUGUUUAUAGAUUGGCGUGUUACCCUGAGCAAUUUCUCAAACCUCUGCAGCAAUUUUCAGACCUCAUGGGUUAUGAUCCUGAUGGUGACAAUUUAAUUGGGGAAUGGAAUUAUUACAUGUAGGUCACUCAUAUGGGCAUAGUAAAACUGGAACUGCAGUCCAAAUGUGGUUAGUUACCUCUUUGUUUUUUGGAUUUUGCAAACAACUUGAAUCACAAGUUGAAAACUUGCAGAUUUGUAUUAUUGUGCAGUGGCUUGUUAGCCGUAGGUUCCUAUUCUGUGCACCUAAACAUUUUAACAAAUCUAAACUUAAAUGAAUAUCAGCAAGCUCCCUUAUGAUUGAUAGCAUUA